AUAGCAAAAAUCCGGCAGCACCUCCUUUGAAAACUAGCAUAACAAGGAGGGGAAACAUGAAGCUCAUACAAGAUAUUAAGACAUAUAAUUCACAUAGUAGAAACUGAAAUGCAAAAGUGGUAAAACUUAAUUAUGACCCAACUGAAGCAAAACAAAUGGGAUAAGAAUCUCAGCCCACCCCAAAAUAAACGCUCAACCACGAACAAAGCAAUUCACUAGACUUGUCCAACUCUGAUUAACAACAUUAUUAAAUGGUGGUUCCUUUAUUAAAGGUGUAGUGGCCGUGCUGCUACAUCCCUCUAUUCCCAAAAGGAGAAAUUAGGUGCCUGCAUCAAACAAUGCAAGAUGUGAGAUAACACAUCUCAACAAGUAAACAUAACAACAACAAAUAGGACAUUGUAAAUCAACUGUGCUUACACAACCACGUGUUCAGGACUUCCUUCUUUUCUUUUGAACAGUAAAUUGCAGCAAGUAAACAAGUAACUAAAAACUCAACGCCAAGUAGAAUCACCAUGCACAAGUCCAAAUUAUCCACAUCCACAUAAUAGAUUCAACACCUCUCCCAUGAAUGCACAUGGUUACAAAUGCAAUAAUGACUUCUGCCUCCAUAUCUCUAAGGAUAUGAAGCUGCACCAUACCCCUUCUCGGGCAACAUAUGAUGCUCAAUGUACCGGUACGGUCGGACCAUAAGAUCGCGACGAAACUUCAAUGCAAUGGAUGAUGAGUGCAUUAUGCAUGACAACAUCAUGAGUUCUUCCCAAAUAAAAAUGUGCUAGGCAUUUACUUCCACCCAUUCCACAUAAUAACCACUUGAGUAACAUAAUCAAACCUCAAACUCAACAUAUGAAAUCCAUGAAACAUGAACAUUUUCAAAUGAUGGUACUCAAAAGAAAAUAUGAACUUGAACAUAAUAGCACAACAUAAACAAGUAUAAGACUCCUCAUCUGACAGACGGAAUAACCAUCACAGUUUUACUUGCCUUCACCGGAAGUUUGGGCAAAUCCCUAAGAACGAUCUGGGAGUCCACCACCUGUUUUUGACACCCAACUUAGUGCACCAAAUUCACAUAAAAAAAACUCAAAACAACGCCGCACCUACGCGCAAUCUCAAACCCCGCCGCGGGUAACAAUUCUCCCCACACCAACCAAACUGCAGCGGCGCUGCUUAACAAUUCCAUAACUUUAAAAUUAAGACAGCAGUGGUGACAAACAAAAACUCCAGAGGCAACUACAUAAAAUUCCCCAUAAGUUUUGUAUACAAUUUAUGAUUAAAUUCUAACAUAUAAUUACUCCUAAACGGUCCACAAAAUAAACCCUGCAAUCUGUUUUUUUUUUCUGUUUUGGGCAGCGACAUACUCGGAUUCAAACAACGAUAACUUUUAAAAUAUAAUUCCGAAUCAAGCGCAUAAGUACUUGUUGGAAAGAUAAGAAAGAGCCCUUCAUGAUUCUUAUACUGAUUAACCCUAAUUACUCCCGAAAAAUCCCCAGAAACUGCUAAUACUGCUGCUGUUCAUCCCCCUGAAAAUCUGUUUUUUUGGACAGCCACAUACCCGGAUUCAAACGGUGCUAACUUUCAAUUUAUAACUCCAAAUUGAGCGCAUAAAUACUCGUUGAAAAGGUAAGAGAAAGUUCUACAUGAUCCCCAAACUGAUUUCCCUUAAUUUCUCACGAAAAAAACACAGAAACUGCUAGAACUACUGCUGUUCAUCCACCACCUAAAAUUCUGGACAGCCCCCUCUACCCAAUCGCAAACGCAACCUCUAAUCAAUUAAAUUGCAGCGCAAAUGAACAAGGGAUGAACACAAAAAUCACCUUGGAUUCUCCCCCUUUCCUUCCUCCCUUCUUCCCUCCACCAAAACGAUUGAAGACUCGCACCACGUGACGAUGAUCCGAGCGGCAAGGAUUGGCACCUUGGGAGGAGGGGAUUGAGGGGGGGGGGGCGGCUAGGGUUUGGUGGCUGCAAGAAUUGAGAGAGGAGGAGAUGGGCAGGGGGGCGGCGGCCAAGGGGGGAGAAGUGGGGG
rnacentral:lncRNA from 1 species